UGGGGAAUUUUUGGACAAUGGGGGCAACCCUGAUCCAGCAAUGCCGCGUGUGUGAAGAAGGCCUUCGGGUUGUAAAGCACUUUUGUCCGGAAAGAAAUCGCCCUGGCUAAUAUCCGGGGUGGAUGACGGUACUGGAAGAAUAAGCACCGGCUAACUACGUGCCAGCAGCCGCGGUAAUACGUAGGGUGCGAGCGUUAAUCGGAAUUACUGGGCGUAAAGCGUGCGCAGGCGGUUGUGCAAGACAGAUGUGAAAAUCCCCCGGGGCUUAACCUGGGAAUGGCAUUUGUGACUGCACGGCUAGAGUGUGUCAGAGGGGGGUAGAAUUCCACGUGUAGCAGUGAAAUGCGUAGAUAUGUGGAGGAACACCGAUGGCGAAGGCAGCCCCCUGGGAUAACACUGACGCUCAUGCACGAAAGCGUGGGGGAGCAAACAGGAUUAGAUACCCUGGUAGUCCACGCCCUAAACGAUGUCAACUAGUUGUCGGGUCUUAAAUUGACUUGGUAAACGCAGCUAACGCGUGAAGUUGACCGCCUGGGGGA
rnacentral:rRNA from 1 species